AGGACGAACGCUGGCGGCGUGCUUAACACAUGCAAGUCGAGCGGAAAGGCCCUUCGGGGUACUCGAGCGGCGAACGGGUGAGUAACACGUGAGUAACCCUGCCCCUAGCUUCGGGAUAGCUCCGGGAAACCGGAAUUAAUACCGGAUACGACCUAGGCCGACAUCGGCCGUGGUGGAAACGUUUUUCGGCUAGGGAUGGACUCGCGGCCUAUCAGCUAGUUGGUGGGGUAAAGCCUACCAAGGCGACGACGGGUAGCC
rnacentral:rRNA from 1 species